AAAUAUAAAUAAGCACAUUUUUUUGGUGUUGUUUUUGAGGAAAUGAGUGUCGGCUCUGGGUUUUUCUGACCAAACUGAGAAAGCCUUUGUAUUCACAGAACUAACUGACACCAUAAUUCCAUUACUUAGACUGAAGAUUUAAGACUCCAUUCUCUCUCCACCCAACACUGCCACAGAAACAGACUUCUUAACGAUUGUUAGUUACAUUGUGUUUCUUCACCAUCUUAUAAGCCUUCACCACCUUCAAUUGCCUUUCAUUAACAAACCUUCUUCAGUGUUGCUUCACCUGUUUUCCUCAACCCAUUCUCCAUCUCAGAAUGGAGGGUGGGAACAUAAGACAGUGGUUGAAUUUUCUGGUUUGUGCACUGCUGUUGCUGAUAGCAGAGGCUUCUUAUGUGCCAAUCACCUAUCUUCAGAACGCUGUAGCAAAAGGAGCUGUUUGUUUGGAUGGGAGUCCACCAGCUUACCAUUUUGAUAGGGGAUCUGGAACAGGGAUCAACAAUUGGUUGGUUGCUUUUGAGGGAGGAGGAUGGUGCAACAAUGUCACUACUUGUCUCUCUCGCAAGACCAAUCGUUUAGGUUCAUCCAAGCAAAUGGCAAAGCAAAUUGCCUUUUCGGGAAUUAUGAGUAACAGGCAAAUGUUUAAUCCAGAUUUCUACAACUGGAACAGAAUCAAGGUUAGGUAUUGCGAUGGUUCAUCUUUUACUGGUGAUGUAGAAGAAGUCAAUCCAGUUACUAAGUUGCACUUUAGAGGAGCAAGGAUUUUUGCUGCUGUCAUGGAGGAUUUACUAGCAAAAGGAAUGAAAAAUGCUCGAAAUGCUAUUAUUUCUGGAUGUUCAGCUGGAGGAUUAACUUCAGUACUGCAUUGUGAUCGCUUCCGAGCUCUAUUACCUAGAGGAGCCAGAGUGAAAUGCCUCUCAGAUGCUGGUUAUUUUAUCAAUGCAAGGGAUGUCACUGGGGCAUACCACAUUCAACAGUACUUCAGUCAAGUUGUUGCUACUCAUGGCUCUGCAAGGAAUUUGCCUCAGUCAUGCACUUCAAGACUUAGCCCAAAGCUAUGCUUUUUCCCACAAUAUUUAGCAUCACAUAUCACUACGCCAAUCUUCUUUGUAAAUGCAGCAUACGACUCAUGGCAGAUUAAGAACAUUUUGGCACCUGGUGUUGCUGAUCCUGAAGGCCAUUGGCAUAGCUGUAAGCUUGAUAUAAACAACUGUUCACCUGAUCAAUUAGAUCUAAUGCAAGGCUUCAGGACAGAAUUUUUAAGGGCAUUGACAGUGCUAGGCAACUCUUCAUAUAAAGGAAUGUUUAUAGACUCUUGCUAUGCCCACUGCCAAACUGAAAUGCAGGAGACAUGGUUGAGAAGUGACUCUCCAGAACUGGAAAAGACAACAAUUGCACAGGCUGUAGCAGACUGGUUUUAUGAAAGAAGGACUUUCCAUCAGAUAGAUUGCCCUUACCCCUGCAACCCCACUUGUCACAACCGCGUUUUUGGACCAGAAGACGACCACCAAGGAAAAAAUGUGACCUCGAAAGGAACGUCAGAUGCAUCAGCCAGAAAGCUCAAUUUUUCAAAACUAACAAACAAGGCACAGUGGAUUGAGCUUGUGUGCAUUAAUGGAGGAAUCAAUGGGCUUCUACUACUAACGUUGGGUCUUAUGAUCAUCAUCGUAUAAAAGCUGGUUCGAAUUCUGACACGGCUGGACCAUCUCUUCCACUGUCUUCCAUAGGAAGCAGGAAAAAGCCAAUCCCAUUGGAUUGAACAAUUUUGUGGCCUUGUACAGACUGCAAUAAAUUCCAGACACAGCUUCAUAAUUGAAUUCAGUCAGAGUAAGCUUGAACUUACAGCAAUUGCUUGGCCUAAAUAAUUAUUUUCUGCCUUAUUUUUUGGAGAGAGGAUGUUCUGGUGUUUCUGUUUGACUUCUUUUGUGUGCCAUCUAUUAUGAGAAACAUUUAUGCAUCUUUUGUUUAAGGUGAAAACAGUUGGAAGAAGGGUGUUUUGGUAGGAUGAAAAAGAAACGAAAGUUCAAAACUUUGGUGGGCUAACUUUCACUCAAGGAGAAGAAAACUUGAAAAAUUAGGUGGAUCAUAAUUGAUUAUACGAACAACAUGCAUCUUUAUUUUCAAAUGCUGUGUCAAUUCACACGAACUGGCUAAGUGCAAGGUGCAUAAAUCCUGCUGGUGAAGCUGCAAUUGUAAUACUGACAGCAUAUAUCAUAGUAUCUUGUUUUGUAAGAACAAAUUCAUAAUUUCUAAUUCACCAUGUUAAGGAGUUGCUUUCAAUAUAAUUUUAAACAUGGCAUUAGUAAAAGAAUGUUAUGUUUUUCUCUCUUUGCAGACUAAUCUAUUAGUUAAAGAAUGUGUGAAGUUUCAAGUGACACAAAUAUACAUUUGUCAGAAUCAUGUAGAUCAUGUUAAUAUGUUAUUUGAUUCAUCAUACUGCAUAAAUUUGGAGUUUAUGUAUCUGUGCCUUUGACAUUACCAUUUGAAUGUGGUGUGACAGA